rnacentral:rRNA from 1 species
GACGAACCGUGCGAACGUUAUUCGGAAUCACUGGGCUUAAAGCGCGUGUAGGCGGACGGGGACGUCGGUCGCUGAAAUCCCCCGGCUCAACCGGGGAACGGGCGCCGAAACGCCCCGUCUCGAGGGACGUAGGGGGACCUGGAACUUCCGGUGGAGCGGUGGAAAUGCGUUGAGAUCGGAAGGAACGCCCGUGGCGAAAGGCGAGGUCCUGGACGUCUACUGACGCUGAGACGCGAAAGCUAGGGGAGCGAACGGG